CAGUCGAGCGCAGGAAACUGACGGAACUCUUCGGAGGGAAGGCAGUGGAAUGAGCGGCGGACGGGUGAGUAACACGUAAGGAACCUGCCUCAAGGAUUGGGAUAACUCCGAGAAAUCGGAGCUAAUACCGGAUAGUUCAACGGACCGCAUGGUCCGCUGAUGAAAGGCGCUUCGGCGUCACCUUGAGAUGGCCUUGCGGUGCAUUAGCUAGUUGGUGGGGUAACGGCUCACCAAGGCGACGAUGCAUAGCCGACCUGAGAGGGUGAUCGGCCACACUGGGACUGAGACACGGCCCAGACUCCUACGGGAGGCAGCAGUAGGGAAUCUUCCACAAUGGACGAAAGUCUGAUGGAGCAACGCCGCGUGAGUGAUGAAGGUUUUCGGAUCGUAAAACUCUGUUGUAAGGGAAGAACACGUACGAGAGGUAAUGCUCGUACCUUGACGGUACCUUACGAGAAAGCCACGGCUAACUACGUGCCAGCAGCCGCGGUAAUACGUAGGUGGCAAGCGUUGUCCGGAAUUAUUGGGCGUAAAGCGCGCGCAGGCGGCCUUUUAAGUCUGAUGUGAAAGCCCCCGGCUCAACCGGGGAGGGCCAUUGGAAACUGGAAGGCUUGAGUACAGAAGANAAGAGUGGAAUUCCACGUGUAGCGGUGAAAUGCGUAGAGAUGUGGAGGAACACCAGUGGCGAAGGCGACUCUUUGGUCUGUAACUGACGCUGAGGCGCGAAAGCGUGGGAGCAAACAGGAUUAGAUACCCUGGUAGUCCACGCCGUAAACGAUGAGUGCUAGUGUUGGGGGGUUUCCGCCCCUCAGUGCUGAAGCUACGCAUUAAGCACUCCGCCUGGGGAGUACGGCCCAAGGCUGAAACUCAAAKGAAUUGACGGGGAACCCGCACAAGCGGUGGAGCAUGUGAUUUAAUUCGAAGCAACGACAAGAACCUUACCACUCUUGGCAUCCCAUUGACCGCUUGAAAAAUCCAGUUUUCCCUUUGGAAGACAAUGGUGACAUGUUGGGUGCAUGGGUGUUCUC
rnacentral:rRNA from 1 species